rnacentral:rRNA from 1 species
GAUGAACGCUAGCGGCGUGCUUUAUGCAUGCAAGUCGAACGGUCCUUCCCGCAAGGGAAGGAUAGUGGCGAACGGGUGAGUAACGCGUAAGUAACCUGCCCUUAAGUGGGGGAUAACUCUGGGAAACCGGAGCUAAUACCGCGGUGGUGGCAGGAGAUAUCCUGUCAUUAAAGCCUUCGGGCGCUUAAGGAGGGGCUUGCGUCCGAUUAGCUAGUUGGUAGGGUAAUGGCUUACCAAGGCGAUGAUCGGUAGCUGGUUUGAGAGGACGGUCAGCCACACUGGGACUGAGAUACGGCCCAGACUCCUACGGGAGGCAGCAGCAAGGAAUUUUGUGCAAUGGGCGAAAGCCUGACACAGCGACGCCGCAUGGGGGAUGAAGGCCUUCGGGUCGUAAACCCCUUUUCUCAGGGAAGAAUAAUGACGGUACCUGAGGAAUAAGCCUCGGCUAACUACGUGCCAGCAGCCGCGGUAAUACGUAGGAGGCGAGCGUUAUCCGGAUUUAUUGGGCGUAAAGAGGGCGUAGGCGGCUUUUCAAGUCGGAUGUAAAAUCUCCCGGCUCAACUGGGAGGGAUCAUUCGAUACUGCUGAGCUAGAGGGCAGCAGAGGGAGGUGGAAUUCCCGGUGUAGUGGUGAUAUGCGUAGAUAUCGGGAGGAACACCAGUGGCGAAGGCGGCCUCCUGGGCUGUUCCUGACGCUGAGGCCCGAAAGCGUGGGUAGCGAACAGGAUUAGAUACCCUGGUAGUCCACGCUAUCAACGAUGGAUACUAGGUAUGGGGAGUAUCGACCCUCUCCGUGCCGAAGCUAACGCUUUAAGUAUCCCGCCUGGGGAGACGGCCGCAAGGCU